rnacentral:rRNA from 1 species
UACGUAGGGUGCAAGCGUUGUCCGGAAUUAUUGGGCGUAAAGAGCUCGUAGGCGGUUUGUCGCGUCGAAUGUGAAAACCCGGGGCUCAACCCCGGGCCUGCAUUCGAUACGGGCAGACUAGAGUUCGGUAGGGGAGUCUGGAAUUCCUGGUGUAGCGGUGAAAUGCGUAGAUAUUGGGAAGAACACCGGUGGCGAAGGCGGCGACCUGGUCCUUGACUGACGCUGAGGCGCGAAAGCGUGGGGAGCAAACAGG